rnacentral:rRNA from 1 species
AGUGAACGCUGGCGGUAGGCCUAACACAUGCAAGUCGAACGGCAGCACAGUAAGAGCUUGCUCUUACGGGUGGCGAGUGGCGGACGGGUGAGGAAUACAUCGGAAUCUACUUUUUCGUGGGGGAUAACGUAGGGAAACUUACGCUAACACCGCAUACGACCUACGGGUGAAAGCAGGGGAUCUUCGGACCUUGCGCGAUUGAAUGAGCCGAUGUCGGAUUAGCUAGUUGGCGGGGUAAAGGCCCACCAAGGCGACGAUCCGUAGCUGGUCUGAGAGGAUGAUCAGCCACACUGGAACUGAGACACGGUCCAGACUCCUACGGGAGGCAGCAGUGGGGAAUAUUGGACAAUGGGCGCAAGCCUGAUCCAGCCAUACCGCGUGGGUGAAGAAGGCCUUCGGGUUGUAAGGCCCUUUUGUUGGGAAAGAAAAGCAGCAGGUUAAUACCCCGCUGUUCUGACGGUACCCAAAGAAUAAGCACCGGCUAACUUCGUG